rnacentral:rRNA from 1 species
GUGAAAUUGAACUCGCUGUGAAGAUGCAGUGUACCCGCGGCAAGACGGAAAGACCCCGUGAACCUUUACUAUAGCUUGACACUGAACAUUGAGCCUUGAUGUGUAGGAUAGGUGGGAGGCUUUGAAGUGUGGACGCCAGUCUGCAUGGAGCCGACCUUGAAAUACCACCCUUUAAUGUUUGAUGUUCUAACGUGGACCCGUAAUCCGGGUUGCGGACAGUGUCUGGUGGGUAGUUUGACUGGGGCGGUCUCCUCCUAAAGAGUAACGGAGGAGCACGAAGGUUGGCUAAUCCUGGUCGGACAUCAGGAGGUUAGUGCAAUGGCAUAAGCCAGCUUGACUGCGAGCGUGACGGCGCGAGCAGGUGCGAAAGCAGGUCAUAGUGAUCCGGUGGUUCUGAAUGGAAGGGCCAUCGCUCAACGGAUAAAAGGUACUCCGGGGAUAACAGGCUGAUACCGCCCAAGAGUUCAUAUCGACGGCGGUGUUUGGCACCUCGAUGUCGGCUCAUCACAUCCUGGGGCUGAAGUAGGUCCCAAGGGUAUGGCUGUUCGCCAUUUAAAGUGGUACGCGAGCUGGGUUUAGAACGUCGUGAGACAGUUCGGUCCCUAUCUGCCGUGGGCGCUGGAGAACUGAGGGGGGCUGCUCCUAGUACGAGAGGACCGGAGUGGACGCAUCACUGGUGUUCGGGUUGUCAUGCCAAUGGCACUGCCCGGUAGCUAAAUGCGGAAGAGAUAAGUGCUGAAAGCAUCUAAGCACGAAACUUGCCCCGAGAUGAGUUCUCCCUGAGACUUAGAGUCUCCUGAAGGAACGUUGAAGACGACGACGUUGAUAGGCCGGGUGUGUAAGCGCAGCGAUGCGUUGAGCUAACCGGUACUAAUGAACCGUGAGGCUUAACCUUACA